AGCGAACGCUGGCGGCAGGCCUAACACAUGCAAGUCGAACGAACCUUUCGGGGUUAGUGGCGGACGGGUGAGUAACACGUGGGAACGUGCCUUUAGGUUCGGAAUAACUCAGGGAAACUUGUGCUAAUACCGAAUGUGCCCUUCGGGGGAAAGAUUUAUCGCCUUUAGAGCGGCCCGCGUCUGAUUAGCUAGUUGGUUGAGGUAAUGGCUCACCAAGGCGACGAUCAGUAGCUGGUCUGAGAGGAUGAUCAGCCACAUUGGGACUGAGACACGGCCCAAACUCCUACGGGAGGCAGCAGUGGGGAAUCUUGCGCAAUGGGCGAGAGCCUGACGCAGCCAUGCCGCGUGAAGGAUGAAUGUCUUAGGAUUGUAAAAUUCUUUCACCGGGGACUAUAAUGACGGUACCCGGAGAAGAAGCCCCGGCUAACUUCGUG
rnacentral:rRNA from 1 species